rnacentral:lncRNA from 1 species
GACAACCAGCCUUGCUCACGAAGCGUCAGCCGUAUCCUUUCUGUGUGCAGUGGGGUGUGGGUUGUGUGGAGCCGCGGUGUCUGUGGAAUUCACAGGCUGGGGCCGGAAUCCAUGGCCCCCGUCGCCGCUGCCACCCCCCAGCACCAACCUAUCAAAACUCCAAACAUGUUCAGGCAUGGUGGCUCACGCCUGUAAUCCCAGCACCGAGGCCAACGCGGGAGGAUCACUUGAACUCAGGAGUUCGAGGCCGCCUGAGCAACACAAAGAGACCUUGACUGUACUGGGGAAAAAAAAAAUAGCCAGAUCCAUUAUUUAUUCUUCUCCAUCUUGUUCUGUGUUCCUGGAAGCCAACCUUUAUAAGCUGCAGGAAAUGGAUUUCCUACUCUCCACCUUCUGAUUGGGCUUGACCAACGGGGAGCACUGGCAGAAGACAAGCAUGGGAGGAAAAAGAGAUCAGGGCUGGAGUGCAGUGGCGUGAUCUCGGCUAGCUACAACCUCCACCUCCCAGCCGCCUGCCUUGGCCUCCCAAAGUGCCGAGAUUGCAGCCUCUGCCUGGCCGCCACCCCGUCUGGGAAGUGAGGAGCGCCUCUGCCCGGCCGUGACCCCGUCUGGGAACUGAGGAGUGUCUCUGCCCGACCGCCACCCCAUCUGGGAGGCCCAGCAUCCAAUUCAGUCGCCUUCAAGGAGUCUCUUCAGUCUAAUUUAUUCUAGAACAAUUCUUCAGGCUUCCCUUCUCUGGCCAAGAUUUUUGAAAAAUACAGGUCAAUGACUUUGUAGGUUGUCUUCAGUUUGGAUUUGUCUGCUGUGUCCUCAUGAUUUAUGCAUCUCUGGCAGGAAUACCACAGAAACGAUGCGACAUUCUUCUCAGUGUACCAUAUUAGGAGUCACACAAUGUCAACUUGUCCCAUUACUGCUGAUGUUAAUGUUUACCACUUGGCUAAGAUGAUGUCUGCCAGGUUUCUCCACUGGAAAGUUAACAGUAUUUAGUACGUGUUAAGUGAUGAGUAAUGAAUAAAUAUUUCAUAGGGA